UUAUUUCUUAUUUCAUGCGUGAUAGUUGACUCAAGCUCAUAAGCAAGUCUUGUUCUUACUCAUCUAGAUGUUCGUUGCCAAUUAUCAUCAUCAUCAUAUUCUACAUCUAGAUUCUCAUACUCAUCCUCAACAAUCAUGUUGUGCAAUAUUAUACACGUCAUCAUGAUUGAAUGAAGUCGUUCUUUAAGCCGCAUAUGUGCAGGUCCCCUAACAAUUGCCCAUUGAGCCUAAAGUAUUCUGAAGGCUCUUUCGACAUCCUUCCUAUAAGUAUCUUGUUUUUGGGCAAAUAGUAUUGUUUUUGGAGUAUCCGGUUGGGAAAUUGUCUUAACUAAUGUAGCCUAACGAGGGGAUACCAUCAGUAAAGUAAUAACCCAGAUUGUAUUCAUUUUCAUUAAUAACAUAUUGGAUAUGGGGAGACGCUCCAUUGACUACAUCAUUGAACAACGAGGAACGAGUUAGGACGUUGAUAUAGUUGUUUGAUUCGGCGGCUCCAAAAAAGGCAUGCCAUAUCCAAGUGUCAUACGAGGCCACCGCCUUUAGAACGAUAGUUGGCUUAUGCUUGUAGCCAGUAAACUGGCUUACCCAAG
rnacentral:lncRNA from 1 species